rnacentral:rRNA from 1 species
CCUACGGGAGGCAGCAGUGGGGAAUCUUGCGCAAUGGGCGAAAGCCUGACGCAGCCAUGCCGCGUGAAUGAUGAAGGUCUUAGGAUUGUAAAAUUCUUUCACCGGGGACGAUAACGACGGUACCCGGAGAAGAAGCCCCGGCUAACUUCGUGCCAGCAGCCGCGGUAAUACGAAGGGGGCUAGCGUUGCUCGGAAUUACUGGGCGUAAAGGGAGCGUAGGCGGAUAGUUUAGUCAGAGGUGAAAGCCCAGGGCUCAACCUUGGAAUUGCCUUUGAUACUGGCUAUCUUGAGUGUGGGAGAGGUAUGUGGAACUCCGAGUGUAGAGGUGAAAUUCGUAGAUAUUCGGAAGAACACCAGUGGCGAAGGCGACAUACUGGCCCAUUACUGACGCUGAGGCUCGAAAGCGUGGGGAGCAAACAGGAUUAGAUACCCUGGUAGUCCACGCUGUAAACGAUGAGUGNUAGUGUCGGCGAUGCAUGCAUGUCGGUGACGCACUAACGACAUAAGUACACUCCGCCGUCGGGAGGUACGGUCGGCGAGAGUAAACGUACUAAUUAGAAGUUAGUUACGGCGUGAGACGUUGCCGACGGACGACGACGAGGGAGGAGG